GGGUGGUCCGAAGGUAGUGCCUUAUCUCAAUUGAUUGUUCACAGUCAGUUACAGAUCAAACUCCUUGCUCUGCUCCUUCCCUCUUCUCACUACUGCACUUGACCAGUCUAAA
rnacentral:Y_RNA from 2 species